rnacentral:rRNA from 1 species
GUGGGGAAUAUUGGGCAAUGGGGGAAACCCUGACCCAGCAACGCCGCGUGAAGGAAGAAGGCUUUCGGGUUGUAAACUUCUUUGACCAGGGACGAAACAAAUGACGGUACCUGGAAAACAAGCCACGGCUAACUACGUGCCAGCAGCCGCGGUAAUACGUAGGUGGCAAGCGUUGUCCGGAUUUACUGGGUGUAAAGGGCGCGUAGGCGGGAUGGCUAGUCAGAUGUGAAAUGCCGGGGCUUAACCACGGCACUGCAUUUGAAACUGCUGUUCUUGAGUAUCGGAGAGGCAGGCGGAAUUCCUAGUGUAGCGGUGAAAUGCGUAGAUAUUAGGAGGAACACCAGUGGCGAAGGCGGCCUGCUGGACGACAACUGACGCUGAUGCGCGAAAGCGUGGGGAGCAAACAGGAUUAGAAACCCGAGUAGUCC